UACAGAGGUCUCAAGCGUUGUUCGGAUUCAUUGGGCGUAAAGGGUGCGUAGGCGGCGUGGUAAGUCGGGUGUGAAAUCUCGGAGCUUAACUCCGAAACUGCAUUCGAUACUGCCGUGCUUGAGGACUGGAGAGGAGACUGGAAUUUACGGUGUAGCGGUGAAAUGCGUAGAUAUCGUGAGGAAGACCAGUGGCGAAGGCGGGUCUCUGGACAGUUCCUGACGCUGAGGCACGAAGGCCAGGGGAGCAAACGGG
rnacentral:rRNA from 1 species